rnacentral:snoRNA from 1 species
AUACAUCUAUAAUGGAGCAGGGAUACAUCCAUAACAUGCUCUGUUAAAAAAGGAAUUCUUAGGGCUGCCAAUAUUAUAGGAAAGUUAUGUAGUGCUGUAUGUCUUCUACAAAA